ensembl:lncRNA
GCUAUAUCUGGGUCCAGCCAGACUGAAUGCUAAAUCAAAGUGUAUUGGUUGUGUACUCUGUCUAUCAGAUGUUACAGCAGGUGCAGAGAAAUGCUUCUAGGUAGUUGGCUAGGAGAUAGAAACAGGGAGACUGUCAGCGCCAUCUUGUUCAAAAGGUCAGGUCUUUCUGCGUCUGCCAGCGCCAUCUUGUUCAAAAGGUCAGGUCUUUCUGCGUCUGCCAGCGCCAUCUUGUUCAAAAGGUCAGGUCUUUCUGUGUCUCAGCGCCAUCUUGUUCAAAAGGUCAGGUCUGUCAGCGCCAUCUUGUUCAAAAGGUCAGGUCUGUCAGCACCAUCUUGUUCAAAAGGUGAGGUCUUUCUGUGUCUGUCAGCGCCAUCUUGUUCAAAAGGUCAGGUCUUUCUGCGUCUGUCAGCGCCAUCUUGUUCAAAAGGUCAGGUCUUUCUGUGUCUGUGCGCCCGCCCCUGUUGAAAACAGCACAACAGUGAUCUGCAUAAAGGGUAUUUUUCCAAGCAGAUUACAGUUCAGAUUAGGAUUAUCGGGACAGUGAAUUUAUUAGGAAGGAUUUAAUUUCUUUGAGGACAAUAAUCCUGAUGACAUUAUUAGCUCAAUGGCCCAUUGCUGUCCGUCCUAGCGUCCGUCCGUCUGUCCUAGCGUCCGUCCGUCUGUCCUAGCGUCCGUCCGUCUGUCCUAGCGGUCCGUCUGUCCGAGCGGUCCGUCUGUCCUAGCGGUGCGUCUGUCUGAGCGUCCGUCUGUCCUAGUGUCUGUCCUAGCGGUGCGUCUGUCCUAGCGUCCCGUCUGUCUGUCCUAGCGUCCGUCUGUCCUAGCGUCUGUCUGUCCUAGCGUCUGACUGUCCUAGCGUCUGACUGUCCUAGCGUCUGACUGUCCUAGCGUCUGUCUGUCCUAGC